rnacentral:rRNA from 1 species
GAUGAACGCUGGCGGCGUGCUUAACACAUGCAACUCGAGCGAUGAAGUUUCCUUCGGGAAACGGAUUAGCGGCGGACGGGUGAGUAACACGUGGGUAACCUGCCUCAUAGAGUGGAAUAGCCUUCCGAAAGGAAGAUUAAUACCGCAUAAUGUUGAAAGAUGGCAUCAUCAUUUAACCAAAGGGGCAAUCUGCUAUGAGAGGGACCCGCGGCGCAUUAGCUAGUUGGUGGGGGAACGGCCUACCAAGGCGACGAUGCGUAGCCGACCUGAGAGGGUGAGCGGCCACAUUGGGACUGAGACACGGCCCAGACUCCUACGGGAGGCAGCAGUGGGGAAUAUUGCACAAUGGGGGAAACCCUGAUGCAGCAACGCCGCGUGAGUGAUGAAGGUUGUCGGAUCGUAAAUCUCUGUCUUUGGGGAAGAUAAUGACGGUACCCAAGGAGGAAGCCACGGCUAACUACGUGCCAGCAGCCGCGGUAA